rnacentral:rRNA from 1 species
CCUACGGGAGGCAGCAGUGGGGAAUAUUGCACAAUGGGCGAAACUCUGAUGCAGCGACGCCGCGUGAGUGAAGACGUAUUUCGGUAUGUAAAGCUCUAUCAGCAGGGAAGAAAAUGACGGUACGUGAUUAAGAAUCCCCGGCUAACUACGUGCCAGCAGCCGCGGUAAUACGUCGGGGGCAAGCGUUAUCCGGAUUUACUGGGUGUAAGGGGAGCGUAGACGGAUGCAUAAGUCUGGAGUGAAAUGCCUGGGCUUAACCCCGGAAGUGCUUUGGAAACUGUGCAGCUAGAGUGCAGAAGAGGUAAGUGGAAUUCAUAGUGUAGCGGUGAAAUGCGUAGAUAUUAGGAGGAACACCAGUGGCGAAGGCGGCUUACUGGACUGUAACUGACGUUGAGGCUCGAAAGCGUGGGGAGCAAACAGGAUUAGAUACCCGUGUAGUC